GUCACGAUGGGGACUGACUCCAGCAAGAAAGGGCUGACUGAUGCAGAUCCUGCUCUGCAGACCCAGAAUUGGAGGUGUGGAGGCCUCGAGCUGGAGGAAUUGGAGGUGUGGAGGCCUCGAGCUGGAGGAAUUGGAGGUGUGGAGGCCUCGAGCUGGAGGAAUUGGAGGUGCGGAGGCCUCGAGCUGGAAGCAGCAGGAGCAAAGGCAUGA
rnacentral:lncRNA from 1 species